AUUGAACGCUGGCGGCAUGCCUUACACAUGCAAGUCGAACGGCAGCGCGGGAGCAAUCCUGGCGGCGAGUGGCGAACGGGUGAGUAAUACAUCGGAACGUGCCCAAUCGUGGGGGAUAACGCAGCGAAAGCUGUGCUAAUACCGCAUACGAUCUACGGAUGAAAGCAGGGGAUCGCAAGACCUUGCGCGAAUGGAGCGGCCGAUGGCAGAUUAGGUAGUUGGUGAGGUAAAGGCUCACCAAGCCUUCGAUCUGUAGCUGGUCUGAGAGGACGACCAGCCACACUGGGACUGAGACACGGCCCAGACUCCUACGGGAGGCAGCAGUGGGGAAUUUUGGACAGUGGGCGAAAGCCUGAUCCAGCCAUGCCGCGUGCAGGAUGAAGGCCUUCGGGUUGUAAACUGCUUUUGUACGGAACGAAACGGUCUUUUCUAAUAAAGAAGGCUAAUGACGGUACCGUAAGAAUAAGCACCGGCUAACUACGU
rnacentral:rRNA from 1 species